CUUUCUCUUUCAAAUUGUGCAUAUUCAUUUUAGAGUAUUUUACCGCCCUUAAUUUUAUAAAUAAUGCAUAAUUUCAAUCAAACAAAUAAGUAUAGAAAUUAUACACAUAACAUCAAACAUAUUGAGUUUCUAUAAAAGAUCAAAUUUUCAUUCAUUGCUAAAGGAUGAUUAUAAUGAUAAUAACAGACAGUACAUCCAAAAUGUAUGCAAUCUAUAUCUAUCAAAAAAAAGAUUGCUAGGAAUACUAUAGCUCUAAGA
rnacentral:lncRNA from 1 species